GUUUUAAUAGUUUAUAAAAAAAUAUUGAUUUUGUAAAUCAAAGAAAAGUAUUAAUUUUUAAAACU
rnacentral:tRNA from 1 species